rnacentral:rRNA from 1 species
UACGUAGGGUGCGAGCGUUAAUCGGAAUUACUGGGCGUAAAGUGUGCGCAGGUGGCCGCGCAAGUCGAGUGUGAAAUCCCCGAGCUUAACUUGGGAAUUGCGCUCGAAACUACGUGGCUCGAGUGUGGCAGAGGAAGGUGGAAUUCCACGUGUAGCGGUGAAAUGCGUAGAGAUGUGGAGGAACACCGAUGGCGAAGGCAGCCUUCUGGGCCAACACUGACGCUGAGGCGCGAAAGCUAGGGGAGCGAACAGG